AGUGGUGUGGUUUCCUGUAGUGUUGUAGAAGGUCAACAUCCAUCAAGAUGGAGGAGGUGAGUGGUGUGGUUUCCUGUAGUGUUGUAGAAGGUCAACAUCCAUCAAGAUGGAGGAGGUGAGUGGUGUGGUUUCCUGUAGUGUUGUAGAAGGUCAACAUCCAUCAAGAUGGAGGAGGUGAGUGGUGUGGUUUCCUGUAGUGUUGUAGAAGGUCAACAUCCAUCAAGAUGGAGGAGGUG